CUUUGUCAGAGAACCGCAGCCCUUGCACUUGCAUGAUUAAGAACCUUUCUUUGGUUCAUUAUUGAGGAUGAGAGACUGCUUUAAAGGUUUGGACCUACUAAAAGAAAAAAAAAGUAAAAUGCAAUCCAAAGAAGCUAUGGGAAUGAUCCUGUUUCCUUUGAAGAAUAUGGCAAAAGACUUCUUGAUGCCAAAUGGAAGCAAGAUUGGACCUGCUAUGGUAGAUUAAACAAUUAUGAGAGUCAGAAUGAGAUGGGGUUCAAAGAGGAGCAAUGAGAAUGAUGAAUGGCCUGGAAUACAUCAAUCUGAAGGAAGA